rnacentral:rRNA from 1 species
GACGAACGCUGGCGGCGUGCUUAACACAUGCAAGUCUACGAGAAUAAGAUAGCAAUAUCUUUAGUAAAGUGGCGCACGGGUGAGUAACACGUAAGUAACCUUCCCUUAGAUUUGGAAUAACUCCGAGAAAUCGGGGCUAAUACCGAAUGAUGCAGCGGCACCUCAUGGUGAUGUUGUUAAAGUCUAUAUGGCGUCUAAGGAUGGGCUUGCGUCUGAUUAGCUAGUUGGUGAGGUAACGGCCCACCAAGGCUACGAUCAGUAGCUGGUCUGAGAGGAUGAUCAGCCACACUGGAACUGAGACACGGUCCAGACUCCUACGGGAGGCAGCAGUGAGGAAUAUUGGGCAAUGCCCGUAAGGGUGACCCAGCAACGCCGCGUGGAGGAUGAAUGCCGUAAGGUUGUAAACUCCUGUUAGAGGGGAAGAAAAAUUCCGAUCAACUCGGGAACCGACUGUACCCUCAGAGAAAGCCCCGGCUAACUACGUGCCAGCAGCCGCGGUAAUACGUAGGGGGCGAGCGUUGUCCGGAUUCACUGGGUGUAAAGGGCGCGCAGGUGGGUCGGCAAGUCAGAGGUGAAAUCCUACAGCUUAACUGUAGAACUGCCCUUGAGACUGCCGGUCUUGAGUAAGGAAGAGAGAGAUGGAAUUCCAGGUGUAGUGGUGAAAUACGUAGAUAUCUGGAAGAACACCAGCGGCGAAGGCGAUCUCUUGGUCCUUUACUGACACUAAGGCGCGAAAGCGUGGGUAGCAAACAGGAUUAGAUACCCUGGUAGUCCACGCUGUAAACGAUGAAUACUAGGUGUCGGGUCUUUAGACUCGGUACCGAAGCUAACGCAUUAAGUAUUCCACCUGGGGAGUACGAUCGCAAGGUUGAAACUCAAAGGAAUUGACGGGGGCCCGCACAAGCAGUGGAGCAUGUGGUUCAAUUCGAUGCAACGCGAAGAACCUUACCUAGGCUUGAAAUGCAGUAGAUCGGGUAUGAAAGUACCCUUCCCUUCGGGG